rnacentral:rRNA from 1 species
AGUGAACGCUGGCGGUAGGCCUAACACAUGCAAGUCGGACGGCAGCACAGUAAGAGCUUGCUCCUACGGGUGGCGAGUGGCGGACGGGUGAGGAAUACAUCGGAAUCUACUUUUUCGUGGGGGAUAACGUAGGGAAACUUACGCUAAUACCGCAUACGACCUACGGGUGAAAGCAGGGGAUCUUCGGACCUUGCGCGAUUGAAUGAGCCGAUGUCGGAUUAGCUAGUUGGCGGGGUAAAGGCCCACCAAGGCGACGAUCCGUAGCUGGUCUGAGAGGAUGAUCAGCCACACUGGAACUGAGACACGGUCCAGACUCCUACGGGAGGCAGCAGUGGGGAAUAUUGGACAAUGGGCGCAAGCCUGAUCCAGCCAUACCGCGUGGGUGAAGAAGGCCUUCGGGUUGUAAAGCCCUUUUGUUGGGAAAGAAAAGCAGCAGGUUAAUACCCCGCUGUUCUGACGGUACCCAAAGAAUAAGCACCGGCUAACUUUGUG